UACAGAGGAGCCAAGCGUUGUCCGGAUUGACUGGGCGUAAAGCGCACGCAGGCGGGGGUGCGCGUGGGGUGUGAAAUCUGGCCGCUUAACGGCCAGGCGCCAUCCCAUACGGCACGACUGGAGGGCUGCAGAGGUCGAUGGAAUUGCCGGUGUAGUGGUGAAAUGCGUAGAGAUCGGCAGGAACACCCAGGGGGAAACCAGUCGACUGGGCAGCACCUGACGCUGAGGUGCGAGAGCGUGGGGAGCGAACCGG
rnacentral:rRNA from 1 species